rnacentral:rRNA from 1 species
AUUGAACGCUGGCGGCAGGCCUAACACAUGCAAGUAGAAAGCGUGGCGGACGGGUGAGUCAUGUCUGGGAAACUGCAUGACGGAGGGGGAUAACUACUGGAAACGGUAGCUAAUAACGCAUACCAUCCAAUGUGCCGAGAUGGGAUUAGAUUGUUGGUGGGGUAACGGCUCAACAAGGCGACGAUCCCUCGCUGGUCUGAGCGGAGUACCUGCCAUCCUGGAACUGAGGCACGGUCCAGACUCCUACGGGAUGCAGCAGUGGGGAAUAUUGCACUAUUGGCGCAAGCCUGAUGCAGCCGUGCCGCGUGUAUUAUGAAGGCCUUCGGGUUUUAAAGUACUUUCAUCGGUGAGGCGUUACCCGCAGAAGAAGCACCGGCUAACUCCGUGCCAGCCGCCGCGGUAAUAC